rnacentral:tRNA from 1 species
GGAGAGGUACCCAAGUGGCUGAAGGGGCGGCUUUGCUAAAGCUGUAGGGGGUCUUAUGGCCCCGCGAGGGUUCGAAUCCCUCCCUCUCCGCCA